GACGUAGGUGGCGAACGUUAUCCGGAAUUAUUGGGCGUAAAGGGUGCGUAGAUGGCCUGAUAAGUUAGCAGUGGGAAAUCGAGGCUCAACCUCGUGGAAGCUGGUAAUACUGUCAGGCUCGAGUGCAGGAGAGGUUAACGGAACUCCAUGUGGAGCGGUAAAAUGUGUAGAUAUAUGGAAGAACACCAAUAACGGCGAAGGCAGUUAACUAUUCUGUUACUGACUUUGAGGCACGAAAGCGUGGGGAGCAAAACGG
rnacentral:rRNA from 1 species